CCCACCGCCGCGGCGCUUGGCCUGGCAGCGGCCGGGCGGUGGCGCAGGAAAGCGGCAAGGCAGCACUGCACAAUUGUUCUGGUGGCACUGCUGGCUGGGAGACCGGCUGGGGCCGCCAGAGCUGGGUGCUGCUGGAGCGAGAGGUGCCAGCGGAGGGUCGCAGCUCCAGGAGGACUCUCGAAAGGAGCCAUGGAGUACUAUCUUGCUGCUGGCGCCCGAAAUAUAGAUGGAGUGCUGAGCGCAAAGGAGAAUAGGGGUGAGCUGUGCAAGAAGGCUAUUGAGAUGGUGGCCUGAAUGCCCAUGAGCGUCUCUGUCUUUCUAGCUUGAGUGCAGAAGACAGCAGGUGUAGUAAGAUGUACUGAGCUGCUGGACAUCCCGCUCGGGGUCAAAAUCCCUUUGUUGCCUGGCUCCCACCCUGUCUUUUGCCAGACCGAGCUGGGGGAAAAGGUGGUUUGCACUCUGUGGGAGUUCAACGAAUACAGGCAGUAUCUGAUGACACUCAAAACAGAGGCUGACAAAAUGUGCCAGCGAGAACAAGUUUCUUGCCAUGACUGUGCAGAGGAUGGAGAAGCUUGAGGCCCUUAAAGAAGAGAAACGCCUCCUCCAGCAGGCUGAGCGAGACCAG